rnacentral:rRNA from 1 species
UACAGAGGUCCCAAGCGUUGUCCGGAAUCACUGGGCGUAAAGGGCGCGUAGGUGGCGCCGCAAGUCCAUGGUGAAAGCUCGAUGCUCAACAUCGAGUCGGCCACGGAGACUGCGGGGCUCGAGCACUGUAGGGGCAGAUGGAAUUCCGGGUGUAGCGGUGGAAUGCGUAGAGAUCCGGAAGAACACCGGUGGCGAAGGCGGUCUGCUGGGCAGUUGCUGACACUGAGGCGCGACAGCGUGGGGAGCAAACAGG